rnacentral:lncRNA from 1 species
GGACAAGAAGACUUUCCAAGAGACCCAGCCCCGAGGUCCCGCCCCCUGCCAGCAGGGCCAGGUCGGUCCCCAGCUGACACACAGCCUCAGGGACACUCAAAGUGCACACUCAGCUGCCACGGCACUGCACACACCACAGCACACACCACGGGGGCUCUGUCGCUUUGCGGAGGCGUGUCCCCCGACCCCGCGACGGCAGCCGCCCUGUGGCUGGGCCAGUGGGGCUGUGUGCUCUGAUGGGUGUCUGUACGCCCUGUGCACCCACGGCCCUUGGGAGCUGCUCAGCACGGGAGCUGCGGGGUCUCGGGUGGCACAGGCUGGCACCUCUGGAAACUCCGUGCAGAGGGGUGUGUCGGUCAUUUCACAGAGUAGAGGCCCAUCCCAGCCCCACGCUGGGCACCUGAAUUCAAAGACUCCGUUCAGAACCCCGGAAAGGACGGGGACACUGUGGUGGGUUUUCGCGGGGAGGUGCAGACGUGGCUCCCGACAGGGUUCCAUCUGUCAAUCACAGCUCAGUGGAGCGGGGGGAGGAGCCAAGGUCGGGACCACCAAGCCAUCCGGCUCCCGGGAGGCAGCCCUGGGAACCCGCUGACCAAAUGGGACACAACGUCAGGGUGGGCAUGAAGGGUCCCUAGGAUGCAGUGGGACCUACGCAGGGCACACCUGCAGAAGGGACACUGGUGACAGACAGGCAGGGGCAGGGUGACAGGAUUGAACCUGGCUGUGCCUGCAGGACGCGCCCCUGCUGCCAGGUAGCGCUCAGGACAGGAAAGUCACAAACCAUGGCCUAGUGUGAGUGCUGCCACCCUUGUCCCCGUGUUGUGUCGGACGCUGACACCAAGGCGGUACUGUCUACCUGGGAUCUGAAGGAAUGUCACUGAAGGACACCUGGACCUGAGCGGGCACUGGGUUUCUGGGCCGAGCCACCAAGUCCACGCGGGCCUCACGGAGCACAGGAGGUAGGCCCUGCCCUGCAUGGCCACCUGCCCACCGACACCUGCACCCAGCUCCAUGCUGGCCCAACUGGGCCCCAGUGUACAGAGCCCUUCUCAGACCCCAGCCCACACCAGGGGACAGAGCUGUCCCCUCUCAGGGCAGUUGGCAGCCCGGCCACCUCACCAGGGAGCACACAGGGCCUGUGCGAAACUCAAAGUGCCCCGGUGUGAGGUCGCACUUCCCAGGUGGCUUCUCGAGGGUCACCGCUGCGCACGGCCAGCAAGUGCCCUUCCCAGCCCCCACCGGCCCCCCCAGCCGGGCUGUGUCACGCAGAGGGCCCUGGGGCACCCGGGAAGAGUCUGCUUUACAGGUGGGAAACUGAGGCCGGGAGAGGAGGCCGUGGCAGCAGGUCCAGGCCGGGUCUGCCUCCGAGGCCAGGGCUCUCUGCAGAGCCCCUGGGGGUCUGCCGUGCCCCUCCCCAUCGGCCACCACCCACUUCUGGGCUGGAGGUCCCCAAGGUCUCGCUACCUCCAACCAGACCACCUGGCCCAUGGGAAAGGCCCGGAGGCAGGCCCCCGGCCUCUAGGUCGUGGGGUAAAGCUGAGGACCAGGCAGGGGAGUGGAGCCUUCUAGACACGGCGCCCUGCUCCAUGGUCCUGUGCCCUGCACCAAGAGCAAGCCUCAGAGGCAGGGGGGAGCCCCGGCCAGCCCCGCCUGGACCCACUGACCCGAGCUCCUCCAGAGGCGGGGCCCAGGCUCAGGUGUGUGGGGCCCGUGCGCCUCACGCCCCGUCUCUGGAAGGCUCUGCCGGGCCCAGCUGGUCAGAUGAGGCCCCUCCGUCCCUCACCCCUCCAGCCUGGCUGUGCUGAAGGACUGGGCACGGGAGCACCCCCUGAAGUCGGGUCCCGUCUGGGGCGUCACCGGGGUGCCUCUGGUGUCUCCCACAAGGCACCUGCCAUUUGGUGAUCAGCCACCAGGAAACAGCCGCACUGGGUCUGUGGGACCCAGGAAGCCUCGGGACCAACGGUGGCCGGGCUCGACUCAGGAGAACAGGGGCGUCCCCGGGAAGUCAGCUCCCGUCCAGGGAGGAGCCGAGGCAGCAGCCCCGCCCAGGACACAGGGCAGCUCUCAGCAAACCCCCAGAGGGAGGCCAGGAGGCGAGGAUGGGGAGGCCGGGCCAGGCCUGGAGCGAGGUUUCCUGGCCUCACCAAAGACCCCUGGCCCAGCAGGGCGGCGCCGAGCAUGGUGGGCCUGUCCUGCACUGGGGGGAGCGUGUCCCAGGGCCGGAGCGAGACAGAAAUGUCCAGUCGUCCCGGGGGUGGAGGGCGCAUUCUGAAGGCUCCGAGUGACGGGCACACAGGGCGGCUAUGGAGAGCCCUGUCCCCGAGGCUGUGCCAGCCACAAGUCUGGGAGGAUCUUCCUCCACCUGCUUCUUGCCAAACGGCCUGAUGAGAUCAAUGACGGUCACAGGGGACUUUCUGCCCAGGGCUCCCAAUCAGUGCUGGAAAGUGACCCAUCCGUUUACAGCAGGGCCCUCCCACCUGGCCCUGUCACCCGAGGCCCGGCGUCCCCCUCCGAGUCACCAGCUGGACUCCAAGGCAGGGCUUGCCCCUCCGCCCUUCCACAGGCCCCGCCAGAGGCCACCAGACAAUGUCCUAGAUCACUGGCUCCCCGGGGCGCAUCCCCAUCAAGUCACAGGUGAAAUGGCAGCUGGGGGGCCUGGUUGUUGGCAAGUGGCAAAGAGAAGGUGCUGGCCCAUCCGCCCGACGACGAAGACCGAGUCCUCGGCCACUCGGCCGACUCCGAGCCAAGAGAUGGAAGUCAGAGUCUGGGGCACCAGGAAGGAGGCCCCCGGCUCCUUCGCCCACAGGGUGACCGUCGCCCAGGGUGGUGUCGUGGGGCCUGGCCUCUUGUCCCAGGUCGGCUCUGGCGUGCUGCAGUGUUUGGGUCAUCUCAGGGGCCAGGUGCCUCCCGAGGUCCCUGUGGCACACACAACAUCUCCCCCGAUAGGGUCUCGAGCUCCUCUGCCCUGGGGUGCCACCGCACAGCCGGGGGCUCUAGGACCCGCUGCCCCCGGGGGGGCCAGUGCCCAUGGCGGGCUCUGCUAAUGGCCGUGGCACGGCUUGGGCUGGGUGGUCAGAAGCAGGUGCCUAAUCUGCAUCCCUGGCACCCAAGGCCCCCAACGCUGGUGCUGCCCCCCGUGGGUCUCUGGGAGACCCGAGACCACUCUGCAGACCGGGGAGCCCAGGGAAGCAGACCUGGGGUGGGCAGUGGGAAUCUGCGCUCAGACAUUGCCGGGGUCAGGUCCCCCCAAGGGCCGGGCCUAUCUGCUUUCAGGAUGAGACUCCGCUGCCUCACAGAGCCCAGGUCGGGUCAGAAUCAGGAGGGGCCUCCCUGCCCAGACCGUCCUUCUAGGAAGCCCAGAGCCAGGAAGGACAGAGCAUGGCUCCACCGUGGGCCUCCAACCAUCCGGGUCAGCAGAGGGACCGUCCUCCCCCACUGGUCUCCAUGCACCCUGGGAAGGUCACGUGGGAAGCCCCUCCCCACAAGGCUGCCAGCCUCAGGACGGUCUCCCAGCGUCCAUAGUGGCCUGGGCCUGGCUGCUGAGGUCCAUCAGUGUCCUGCAGGUGACAUGCGGGCCGUGGGUGGGCUCAACCCCCGUCUUCCUGCCUGGGCAGGCUGAGCGCGGGCAGCUCAGAUGGUCCCCACUGGGCCUCCUUUGGCUUGGUGCUGGCCCGUGCGCUGCCUGGCAGCGAGGUGCUCCCGAUGGCCACGGCUGGCGGAGGGAGGCCCGCGGCCUCCCUGUCCUCCUCUCUCCCCCUCCUUUGGCUCCUCCCUCCCUGUGCGGAGGCUCGGAGGAGGGCGCAGGGCUGCGGCCAGGGAGGAACCUGGGCUUCAGGAUUCCCUGGUCGGAGACCGUGCCCCCGGCCCAGGCUGGGUCCGCCUGCCCCGGCUCCCCGCUUCCACAGGACCUUGGGAGUUGCCCUGGCACCCGGCACCUUCCCUCCAGCCCAGCUGCCCUGGCCACUUCCUCUCCACAGCCUCAUGGCAACUGCAGGCCCCAAGCAGGACCCGCCCGAGCAGCUGCCAGCCCCAGUGGCCACACCAGGAGAAGCCCACACGUCCUGCCGCAGGCGGAGCCCGGACGCGCUGUGCUGGCUGCCCGACACCUGCCUGCCCGGCUUCCCGUCCAGACGCUGGACCGUGGGCAGCUGUGAGCUCCUGGGAGGGAGGCUGUGGACCCUCUGCCUGGCCACCCUGCCCCUGUCCUGCUUCUUGGCCCCACCAGCUUCCAGGCCAAUGCCCCGGCAAGUCUCGGAUGAUGAGGAGGAGAGCUCAGACCCUGGGCAGCCAAGGGCCACGGAAGGAAAGGGACAGCUUCCCCCCUGGCUUUGUCCUGGUCUCCAGCAGGUUUGGCCCAACCCGAUGCUUUGGUCACAGCAAGGUAAGGCCAGGGCUUGGGUGGGGACAGCACGGCAUCUGAGACGAGUAGCACUGCAGAGAGCCUUCCUACAAGGGCCGGCCAAAGGCCUGAUGCUCGCCACCAAGGAUAGCAACUGGGGCUCAGAGAGGUCGUGCUACUUGCCGAAGGGCACACAGCCAGCAGCAGGGGAGCCAAGCCUAGAGUUCGGGUCGCAUAACCCCACAGCUCUAGAGUCAGACACGCAGAGCGGUUUCUCCUGCUGUGGUACCAAAUAGAGCCAGGGCCACCCCGCAGAGUUCAGGCAGCUCCGACAAAGCCACUCUGUGAAGAGACCUGCUCCGGGGCCCCGAGCGCCCAGACCCGCCCGCGCCCUUGAGCUCCAGGUCAUCUUAAACCAGUGCCACCGCUCAGUCACCCUGACCCGGUGGGGUCCACAGAUCCACCUCCGCAAAGCAAGUCAAGUAAGCCAGCCGUCCCUUCACAGGGACAGGGACAGGAGAGCACCCCUGAGUGUCCCGGUGACCCGGGCCCAGACAGCUCCUCAGGCUGACCUCCUGCACCAGCCCAACGCUGGCUGCCCAGGGAGCAGGACGCGGGGACAGGGCAGGGAGCCAGUUCCCAGCUGUGGCCAGGCAGGCCCAGCCUCCAGGGGCUCCCCGCCCGGGGAGGGGGCCGGAGGUGGACAAGCACUUGACUCGGCCUCCUUGCUGGUGACCGGUUCCUCCCCUGGUCCUGAGUCUCUCCCAGGUGUGUGGUGGUGCAGGGGUGACCUGCAGGUCCAGCGCCAAGGCCACAGUCGCGACGUGGAGCCAAGAGGAGGCCUCAUCUGCUCUCACCAGAAAAGGGACGCGUGAGCCCAGGCGCCCGAAGGGCCCCGCGCAGCCCUCUGACCCCGGUGGACACCCGACAAGGCGGGUCUUCACCGUCCGGCCCGCGGCCUCGGGUUUUCUCCUGGACUCUUCCGACUGCCCUGCCUGCCUCUGGGUGGACGGCAGCCUGCAGGGCCGCCCCUGCUCCCCUCCCCUUCCCGUCCGUCUGUCCGCCCGGGGGACCUCGGUGAAUGCCUUUUGAAGCUCCAUGAGCAGGUGCAGGACGCCUGGGCCUGCCCCGUCCUGCCCUGUGGGUGCCGGGGCACGCGGGUCGCAGCUCAGGGUCUCGGCCUGCGCUCGCCCCGGGCGCGCGGCCUGCGGUGUCUUUCGGUUCUUCUCUCUUACUCUGUCUCCACGGGAGGUCGCUUUCCGCUGCUGGGUGCUGGGCCUGGUCAGCGGGGUGCUGGGCGCUGCCCCUUUUCCUGCCUCCUUCCUGCCUGGGCUUCUCGGGCCCUGGCCGUGGCUCACGGAUAUUGACGGGGAACCUCCCCGUCUCUGGCUGCCUGAGGAAGCCAGCGUCCUGGGGACAGCUCGGCCGUGCCCUGACUGUCCCCACUCCCCCAGCCCCUUGCUGUGGUGGUGGCCCUGGCCCUGGCCCCAGUCUUCCAGGCCUCCGCUGCCUCCUGUGCCCGCUCCUGUGUGCUCCCAAUUCGCCGAUGGUGGCCUGGCUCAGGACCCAUGCGGCCACUUCUCCUGUCACUUCAAGGGACCUUGUGAAGAGGUGCCUCCGGCCACCCCGUCGGAUCUUCCUACAGGAGCCUGUGAGAACCCACGGACCCAAGACGCCACCUCCCUCCCCGAUGGAGGCCAGGUCCCUGCACGGUGCCCAGGAGGCUUCUGCGUCGGGGUCCUCCUGGAGGUAGGGCUGAGGGCGCGCUGGCCGGGGCCACCCUUCCCAAUGGGCUCCCUGGGGACCAUCCUUCCUAUCUCCCUGGCACCCAGGAGGUCCAGGGGAGUCGCCGGGUGGUAAGGGGCUGUGGGACCCAAACCCGGCCUUCCGUUUCUAAAUCUCAGCUACCCCCACCCCCGGCGGCCAUGGCUGCCAGGUCCAUCACUGGUAUAACCCACGGUCCUGAUUCUAGAACAUUCCACACCUGCCCUCCUCACAGCCUCCUGGAGUCAGGGGCUCCCUGUUUGCCAACAGGGUGGGCCACGGGGUCCGGGAAAAGCUGCUGAGAGCCCACUCACUGUGCCUCAGUGUCCUGACCUGCAACAGGUCAUGGCCCACACUGGCAGGCUAUUGUGAGGACCAAAGGGGCAACCAGGCAUACAGUAGGAACUCAGUACGUGUGCAUGCCCCGCUCCACUUCCUCAAGCCUUGUCACAGACGGGCUCUGCCGCUCUGAGCCCACGUUAAGGAGCCCAGGUUCCAGGUCCUCCCCGAGAAGGACCAAAUGGACCGUCCGACCUACACCUCAGAGUCUGAGGGAGGAGCUCAGCCCAGACCUGGAGCAGGAUGCCUCAGGGCACAGGAGGGGCCGCCCGAGGCUACUCUAUGUGACGGCAGUGUGGUUUGUGGGGGUGCAAGCCCACCCACACCCAUCCAGCGGGGAGCCCUUCUUGAUCCAGGCCAGGUAUGAGCAUCUCCCAAGCUGGUCCAACCAGAGCAAGGUUCAAGGUUUUGUUCAGUUUAGAUCUGUCUUCCUCUGCCAAUGAGGUGUGUAGAUGCAAAGCCUGGGACUUCUGCAGCCACUUGGCUCCAUGAGGCACACAGCCUGACAACGCCAAGACAGGCAGAGCCAGAGAACCGCUGAGCCGCUCAGGCAGAGCCCCGGUCCAACCGCCCCGACUUCCCCGCCGUGCACGCCACUUUGAGCUGGUUUCGUGCCUCCUAAGACAAAAAUCCCCAAAUCACAGGAGCACCCAGGGAGGGCUGCCGCUGGUUCCACUAUCAGCUCGAGGGCUGGACUUGGAAGUCCAACGGCGCUCCUCCCAGUGGUCAAGGUCCAUCUGGAAAACCGAGAGCCCAUCCAUCGGAGGCUCCUUGGCGGUUUUCUGUAGAUGGCAGCUGAGCCCAGAAGAGGGAUGGCCUCCUCCAAGGCCACCCAGCCGGUCAGUGCCACGUUCAGCACCCGGGCCCGGCCUCUGGACUGCAGGCCGCACAGCAUUCCCAAAGGGAGAGCGGCCAGCGGGCCUGCCCAGCCUGACCCACCGACCUGCUGAAGUGAUGCUCCGCAGGCCGCGGGCUUCCCACCUCAGAGUCGCUGGGACCGUGGAGCCGCGUGUCGCGGGGCCGGGCCGCAGGGGGAGCCUGGGGACUGCUCCGCAGGAGGCCAGCGCCCACACGCUGGAAGCAGAUCAGAGCAGCCCGUCUCCCAGGGCCGCGGCCACUCCCCACUUGAGAAGGACUCUGUACCCAUUUCACUCUGUUCCCUUCUCGGUGGCUCUUUAAUGAGAUGAUGUUAGAGCUGGAAGUCCACAGUGGGGGCCGCGCAGACAGACAGACAGACAACCAGCCGGCCUCCUCCUCCCCUCCCCGGAGGUGCUGGGUGGGCAGCAAGAGGGGCCCAGCCACCGACUCCUGUCCCCUAGACACCCCUGGGCUGGGCUUGUGGCGUCUUUGCAGUCACAAUGGGACACAGGCAUCUGCCUGGUUCAGGUGGAGCAGGGGACACCAGAGACAGAAGAAGCCAAGAGGUCAGGACAAGGUCACAGCUAGCGAGAGACAGAGCUGAGGCCUGAAACCCUAGCUCCUGUCCCAUGCGCCCCCAGGAGCUCGCGUCACCCUGGGGACAGACGGUCUCCCGGGGCAGGAGGUCAGCAGGAGCUCAUGGAGAAUCCCCCUCCCACAGGGGGCAGUGGAGAGCCCAGGGCAGGACUGGAGGCCCCAGGGCUGGCCGUGGGGGUGGGGCUGUGUCCCAAGAUCCUUGGGGUCCCACAGCCAGGACCUGCCUCUGCCUCACACCUGGCCACGCUGUCCCCAUGCCUGCCCCACCCAGGUGAUGGGGCUCCUCUGGACGUGGCCCCGCCAGCCUCAGGCUGCUGCCCCGUGGCUCUGUGGCACCGCCGUGGGCAGGUGGCCCACAGGGGGGACUUACUGACUUCUAUGUGGUCGCCCGAGUUUUCUAGAAAAUUGUGGAAAAGAAACCAAUCGUGGCCGUUCAACGUUUCUAAGGUAAAAACAGGACAGGAGGGACAAGCUCCUGGGGGGAGGUCCACGUAAGGGGACGCCGGGCGGUCCUCACAGUCACAUCCACGAGGUGACGCAGAGGCACGGAAGUCAGGGGUUCCUGGCCACGCACGCGCGGGGUCUGCGUGUCUCCUGCGGGGGACGCCCACACGCACACCCCAAGCCCACCUCUGUCUGGGGAGGGAGAGGGACGGCCGGGGGCCCUGGGCCUCACAUUAGGCUCCUGAGCCGACCCUGAGCAGGGGCUCGGCAGAGACCAGGAGCACGCGGGGCUGGUGUGGGGACGGCCACCCAGAGUCACAGCUGAGCAGUGCCUGGAGGACAGUCCCCAAUGUGACUGUCAGGAAGCCGGUCGAGUGACGUGAAAAUUAUUCAGUGUUAAUGAUAAAGAAAAGAGGCACAAAAAAAAUUAAAAAUUAAAAAGAAAGAAAAGAGGCACAGGUGGGCCCCCAAACCAAGGCCAAUCAGGAUGUGGACGGGAGCCGCGCUGUGAAUGCUUCCGGAAGCUUCUAACUGCCCCCGACUGGCGAUCUAUCUUGACCCUGUCUCAAAAUAAAGUAAAAAUGUCUGGGAUGUGGCUCGGGGGUUAAGCGCCCCUGGGUUCAAUCCCUGGUUCCCCCUAAAGAUGCUCCCCACUGAGGGGGGACCUCCCAACAGGGGAAACUGGGUGGGGGGCUCUGUGGGAACCUGCCCUUCCUGCUGGACAUUCCUGUUAACCUAGAAGCACUUUAAGAAAUAAAAUAAAUAAAUAACAGAAACACCCCUGAAGCCUGGUCCCAAGGACCCUCGCCCCCUGUGGCC